UGAGUUUACUUUCUAAUGUUGAAAAUAUGAGAUGAAUAUGUAUGUUUUGGAUGUUGUAAACUUAUGAUGAAAGUAGUUUAGCAACAUUGAAAAUAUAAUGAAUAUCUUGUAUGGUUAAAUGAUGCAAUAUAAGUUGUUUAUAUGAUAUUUGGGAUAAAUGACUAACGUUGUGUUGUAUGGUGGGAAUGAGGAAAGAUACUAGAGUUGGCGGCGGUGUCGGUGGAACUAAUGCAGUUACCAAGAACUCAACCCAACACUCACCAAGAUAAACAAGUGACAUGAGGUGGUCUCAUUUUUGGAAGCUUUAGGAGUUUUAUGUUUUGGUUUCACUUAUGUGCACUAUUUUGUACAUGAGUGCUUGUUGGAUUAGUUGAAAUAUUUUGUACCUAU